rnacentral:rRNA from 1 species
GACGAACGCUGGCGGCGUGCUUAACACAUGCAAGUCGAACGGUAAGGCCCUUCUUUUGUGGGACGCUCGAGUAGCGAACGGGUAAGUAACACGUGAGUAGCCCACCCCUUACUUUUGAAUCACUUCAGGUAACUGUGGCUCAUACCGGAUGGUCGCUCCUGCUGCUUGGUGGUGGUUGGAUCGUUUCGGCGUUGGGGGAUGGACUCGCGGCUUAUCUGCUGGUUGGUGGGGUGCUGGCUUACCAAGGCUUGGACGGGUAGCCGGCCUGGGUGGGUGACCGGCAAAAUGGGGACUGAGAAAGGGCCAAGACUCCUAGGGGGGGCAGAAGUGGGGAAUAUUGCAAAAGGGGCGGAAGCCUGAGGCAGCAAGGCGGGGUGCGGGAGGACGGCCUUCGGUUGUAAAACGGCUUCCGCCUGUGACGAAGUGUGAGUGACGGUAAUGGGUGAAGAAGCACCGGCUAACUACGUG